GGGGUUGUGGCUCAGUGGUAGAGCACUUGCCUAGCAUGUGUGAGGCCCUGGGUUCAAUUCUCAGCACCCCA
rnacentral:tRNA from 1 species